CGCUGGCGGCAUGCCUUACACAUGCAAGUCGAACGGCAGCGCGGGGCAACCUGGCGGCGAGUGGCGAACGGGUGAGUAAUAUAUCGGAACGUACCCUGGAGUGGGGGAUAACGUAGCGAAAGUUACGCUAAUACCGCAUACGAUCUAAGGAUGAAAGUGGGGGCUCGCAAGACCUCAUGCUCCUGGAGCGGCCGAUAUCUGAUUAGCUAGUUGGUGGGGUAAAGGCCCACCAAGGCAUCGAUCAGUAGCUGGUCUGAGAGGACGACCAGCCACACUGGAACUGAGACACGGUCCAGACUCCUACGGGAGGCAGCAGUGGGGAAUUUUGGACAAUGGGCGCAAGCCUGAUCCAGCAAUGCCGCGUGAGUGAAGAAGGCCUUCGGGUUGUAAAGCUCUUUUGUCAGGGAAGAAACGGGUGGGGCUAAUAUCCUCACCUAAUGACGGUACCUGAAGAAUAAGCACCGGCUAACUACGUGCCAGCAGCCGCGGUAAUACGUAGGGUGCAAGCGUUAAUCGGAAUUACUGGGCGUAAAGCGUGCGCAGGCGGUUUUGUAAGUCUGUCGUGAAAUCCCCGGGCUCAACCUGGGAAUUGCGAUGGAGACUGCACGGCUAGAAUCUGGCAGAGGGGGGUAGAAUUCCACGUGUAGCAGUGAAAUGCGUAGAGAUGUGGAGGAACACCGAUGGCGAAGGCAGCCCCCUGGGCCAAGAUUGACGCUCAUGC
rnacentral:rRNA from 1 species